UGGGUUUGACAUAUACCGGAAAGCCGUAGAGAUACGGCCCCCCUUGUGGUCGGUAUACAGGUGGUGCAUGGCUGUCGUCAGCUCGUGUCGUGAGAUGUUGGGUUAAGUCCCGCAACGAGCGCAACCCUUGUCCCUAGUUGCCAGCGGUUCGGCCGGGAACUCUAGGGAGACUGCCGGUGAUAAACCGGAGGAAGGUGGGGAUGACGUUUCCUUC
rnacentral:misc_RNA from 1 species